GUGCCAGCAGCCGCGGUAAUACGUAGGGUGCGAGCGUUGUCCGGAAUUACUGGGCGUAAAGAGCUCGUAGGUGGUUUGUCGCGUUGUUCGUGAAAACCUGAGGCUUAACCUCGGGCGUGCGGGCGAUACGGGCAGACUAGAGUACUGCAGGGGAGACUGGAAUUCCUGGUGUAGCGGUGGAAUGCGCAGAUAUCAGGAGGAACACCGGUGGCGAAGGCGGGUCUCUGGGCAGUAACUGACGCUGAGGAGCGAAAGCGUGGGGAGCGAACAGGAUUAGAUACCCUGGUAGUCCACGCUGUAAACGGUGGGUACUAGGUGUGGGUUUCUUCCUUGGAAUCCGUGCCGUAGCUUAUGCAUUAAGUACCCCGCCUGGGGAGUACGGGCGCAAGGCUACAACUCAAAUGAAUUGACGG
rnacentral:rRNA from 1 species